AGGCGUGCAGGGAGCCUACCCUGGCCCCGGUUCGCACCGCUGCCACCCCAGAGCCGCUUUAGGGCUGGAAUUUCAGAGGCAGGAGGACGCUCAAUGCCUUAGAGACAGAAAGUACCUCACAUCAGCUAUCAGUAAUUUCUUUAGCCAGUGAAGAGGAGGCACCGAUGCGCACUGGAAGAAGAGCGAGAAGAGAGAGGAGAUGUCUAUUUGCAGUCCCUGCCUGCUUGGAGCUAAAGUGAAGUCCAACUUUUUAAUAAGGAUUUUUGAAAUGGAAAAGUAUUUUAUGGAGAGUUUGUUCAUGUAAAUCCACACACAGAUUUCUCUGCUCCUCUUUAGCUGAUUGUGGUCAUGAAUAAAAUAUGCUCCUUCAA